rnacentral:rRNA from 1 species
GACGAAGGAUGCAAGCGUUAUCCGGAUUCAUUGGGUUUAAAGGGAGCGUAGGCGGACUUGUAAGUCAGUGGUGAAAUCUGUGGGCUUAACCCACAAACUGCCAUUGAUACUGCAGGUCUAGAGUACAGUUGCCGUUGGCGGAAUAUGACAUGUAGUGGUGAAAUACUUAGAUAUGUCAUAGAACACCCGAUUGCGAAAGGCAGCUAACGAAGCUGUAACUGACGCUGAGGCUCGAAAGUGCGGGGGAUCAAACAGG